UGUAAUCAGAGGUGGGGAAGAGGGGCAGCGAAAGUUCUGUUUACUAAAAAUAUGAAGGAGUCAGCCAGGUAAGGAGGGCAGGACACGGACGGGCCAGGCAGUAGAGCUGGCGUGCAAAAUGCUGUCUCUACGCAAGGAUCAUCCUGCACCAGGAAUAUCUGGGCUGUGUCCGACCUGUCUCCCUACCACGUUGGGGGCUCCUGGGUGCACAUCCCGUGGCCUGAAUCUCUCGCUGAACCUAUCAACCAACAAACAAAACGCAUGGCUGAGAACUUCGUAUGUGCUCGCGGAUGUUUCUUGAGCGAAUGAACAAGCAGGAAUCCAAACGUGAUGGGAGAAAUGAGCUAGACGCCAGCCGAGCUCAGAGAUGGCAGAAGAGGCCACAGCAGACUCAGAAUCAGGGAGGCGUCCCAAUGCAAAGCAGGAGGAACAAGAAGCCACCUGUCUGAUCCUUUCUCCCACAGUGGGUGUGACAGGAGAUCAGGGACAAGCCAGGCCCUGGUUGUGAAACAAACUCUCUUCCAGGCUGGACUUCUACGGGCUGGCUGACAUAACCCAACUGUGCCCAGAUCCUGGGUUUUGCUAUCUCUUGAACUAGUCUUUCCUUCACACUUUCCUUUUCCUUUAAAGGCAUGUUUUAAAAUUGUGCCUCACAUCUCAUGUAAAUAUAUGCAAAUAUGUGUAAAGUAAAUAUAUGAAAACUUAUUGUAAAAAAUAGGAGGAUGAUGCUA